ACUCUCAGUCCUGAAGCCAUAACUUCCUUGCAUAAAGCUGCGGCAGCGAUCGCCUCCAGACAAGCGCAUCGAUGGGAACCAGAAUUGCCUUUUCAAUUAAUCAUCCUUAACCCUGCUAGACAGCCUCAUGCACUUAUUUUCCAAUGGGACUGCCAGAAAACGGACCCUUUACUGAUCAUUGAAUGGAUUUUUUUACCUAACCAAGCCACAAAGACGAUUUCUACCCAACAUGAGAUGUUUGCAUCUUUAAUCAUCAGGGCUCGACAGCGAUUACUUACCCUGGCAGGCACGGACUUCGCCCUCAUAUGUAUGCCGACAGCAAUCCUCCAGUAGUUCGUCAUUUUAGCACAAACACCCUUUUUGAACCCAAGAUUAAGCCGCCAGUAUUGAUCCGGGACCCCGAAACAGGUAAGAUAAUGGGACCCUAUCCCCUUGUCACGUGGGGAAGAGGCUAUGCUUGUGUUUCCACAGAAAGAGGUCCCCGCUGGAUCCCAGCUAAAAAUGUGAGACCUUUUCGAGAGACACUGCAGCAGCCUCCUGAAGACAUUCCUGGUCCUGAUCCUGCGACUGACAUAGAAGACACUACCGAUCAAUAAUUGAAUGAACUCUGUUCCAGAGGUUAACGAAUGGGAGCUUAAGUGUCCCCAAUGUGAAAAAUGUAAUCCGUGGAUUUGUAGAAUUUGUGCUAAUUGUGGAAAAUCACAGUGGCUAAAUCGCCAUACAGUAGGACACUGGUGUGAUAACUGCCUAACAAUUGAGUGGAAUACAGUUCAGGUGUUAUUGAUAACAGGUAGAGAGACAGAAUAUUCACCCCGGUAUGAUUAUUAUUCUGACGAUUGGGGGAAAAUUGUAGCACAAAGGUCUGUGGACAUUUUAUAUUCUAAGAUUGAAUGUGCCAAAGACAUUCAAAUGAGCAUUAUUAAUAGUAAUCCCAUGUGUGUUACAAUGCUUGCAAAAAUCAAUAACUGCUUCAAUGAACAAGAUUUUCCUCGUGCAGCAAGGAGCGGACCAAGAUCAGAAAGAAAUUACGAAAACCCCCAGUACGGAGCUGUUAGUAAGAUGUCCUCGAGUUGGUCGUUUGCCGACCUUGGGAGGGUCAGUUAAUUAAAACAAAAAGGGGGAGAUGUGGGUUGUCUGAAUUUAGAGUUGAUGAGUUAGUUUUCUGUAUUUGGAGUUAAUAGGCUAGUUUGCUGUAUGAAUAAAGUUAAGUGUUGCGGUAGUUGUGAGGCGACUUGGAGGCGGGGAGCUUGUGGUCGGUGGGGGUGCCUGCGCCCUGGAGCCCUGGAGCGGGGGACAGCUUGUGACUACGAGAUAAAGAUCUUGUUACCAUGCGAACACUGCCUGACUAAGAUUCCCGCCUUAGCUAGCUUAAUGUCUGUUAAAGUGAUUAGCCAAUCAGCAUGAAACAUGUGUGCCUUAGACUAUAUAAAUGUAUGUUUGCCAUACAAUAAAGCGGACACCUUGCUUGCAUCAA